GUGGAUUAGAUACCCUGGUAGUCCACGCCGUAAACGGUGGGUACUGGGUGUGGGAGGUGUAAUGCCUUCUGUGCCGAAGCUAACGCGUUAAGUACCCCGCCUGGGGAGUACGGCCGCAAGGUUGAAACUCAAAGGAAUUGACGGGGGCCCGCACAAGCGGUGGAGCAUGUGGUUUAAUUCGACGCAACGCGAAAAACCUUACCUGGGCUUGACAUGCCGAGGACCCGGUGGAAACACUGGGGUACCUCGUAAGAGGAACUCGGACACAGGUGCUGCAUGGUCGUCGUCAACU
rnacentral:rRNA from 1 species